rnacentral:rRNA from 1 species
UGGAUCCACACUUUGAUUAUGGCUCAGGAUGAACGCUGGCGGCGUGCCUAACACAUGCAGGUCGAACGGAUUCAUAUUUGAAAAUGCUGAUGCUUGCAUCAGCAGGUGAUAUAUGAAUUAGUGGCGGACGGGUGAGUAACGCGUGGAAAACCUGCCGUAUACCGGGGGAUAACACUUAGAAAUAGGUGCUAAUACCGCAUAAGCGCACAGCUCCGCAUGAAGCAGUGUGAAAAACUCCGGUGGUAUACGGUGGUUCCGCGUCUGAUUAGCUAGUUGGCGGGGUAAAGGCCCACCAAGGCAGCGAUCAGUAGCCGGCCUGAGAGGGUGGACGGCCACAUUGGGACUGAGACACGGCCCAGACUCCUACGGGAGGCAGCAGUGGGGAAUAUUGCACAAUGGGGGAAACCCUGAUGCAGCGACGCCGCGUGAGUGAAGAAGUAUUUCGGUACGUAAAGCUCUAUCAGCAGGGAAGAAAUGCUGUCCUGACGGACGGCAGACGGUACCUGACCAAGAAGCCCCGGCUAACUACGUGCCAGCAGCCGCGGUAAUACGUAGGGGGCAAGCGUUAUCCGGAUUUACUGGGUGUAAAGGGAGCGCAGACGGCAGCGCAAGUCUGGAGUGAAAUGCCGGGGCUCAACCCCGGAACUGCUCUGGAAACUGUGCGGCUGGAGUGCAGGAGGGGUAAGCGGAAUUCCUAGUGUAGCGGUGAAAUGCGUAGAUAUUAGGAGGAACACCGGUGGCGAAGGCGGCUUACUGGACUGUAACUGACGUUGAGGCUCGAAAGCGUGGGGAGCAAACAGGAUUAGAUACCCUGGUAGUCCACGCCGUAAACGAUGAUUACCAGGUGUCGGGGGACCAAGGUUCUCCGGUGCCGGCGCAAACGCAUUAAGUAAUCCACCUGGGGAGUACGUUCGCAGGAAUGCAACUCAAAGGAAUUGACGGA